rnacentral:rRNA from 1 species
UAAACGACUCUCGGCAACGGAUAUCUCGGCUCUCGCAUCGAUGAAGAACGUAGCGAAAUGCGAUACUUGGUGUGAAUUGCAGAAUCCCGCGAACCAUCGAGUCUUUGAACGCAAGUUGCGCCCGAAGCCAUUAGGCUGAGGGCACGUCUGCCUGGGCGUCUCACG